UACGAAGGGGGCUAGCGUUGCUCGGAAUCACUGGGCGUAAAGGGUGCGUAGGCGGGUCUUUAAGUCAGGGGUGAAAUCCUGGAGCUCAACUCCAGAACUGCCUUUGAUACUGAAGAUCUUGAGUUCGGGAGAGGUGAGUGGAACUGCGAGUGUAGAGGUGAAAUUCGUAGAUAUUCGCAAGAACACCAAUGGCGAAGGCGGCUCACUGGCCCGAUACUGACGCUGAGGCACGGAAAGCGUGGGGAGCAAACAGG
rnacentral:rRNA from 1 species